GACAGAGGGGGCAAGCGUUGCUCGGAAUUACUGGGCGUAAAGGGCGCGUAGGCGGGAUGGCAAGUCGGUCGUGAAAUCCCUCGGCUCAACCGAGGAACGUCGAUCGAUACUGCUGUUCUUGAGGAUUGCAGAGGAGACUGGAAUUCCCGGAUGUAGCGGUGAAAUGUGUAGAGAUCGGGAGGAACGACCGGUGGCGAAGGCGGGUCUCUGGGCAAUUCCUGACGGCUGAGGCGCGAAAGCGUGGGGGAGCAAACGGGG
rnacentral:rRNA from 1 species